ensembl:lncRNA
CUCCUCUCCUCACUAGGUGUCUCCUCUCCUCCUCUCCAGGUGUCUCCUCUCCUCCUCUCUAGGUGUCUCCUCUCCUCCUCUCUAGGUGUCUCCUCUCCUCCUCUCUAGGUGUCUCCCCUCUUCCUCUCCUCCUCACUAGGUGUCUCCUCUCCUCCUCACUAGGUGUCUCCUCUCCUCCUCUCCAGGUGUCUCCUCUCCUCCUCACUAGGUGUCUCCUCUCCUGCUCACUAGCUGUCUCCUCUCCUCCACACUAGGUGUCUCCUCUCCUGCUCACUAGGUGUCUCCUCUCCUCCUCACUAGCUGUCUCCUCUCCUCCUCACUAGGUGUCUCCUCUCCUGCUCACUAGGUGUCUCCUCUCCUCCUCACUAGCUGUCUCCUCUCCUCCUCACUAGCUGUCUCCUCUCCUCUUCACUAGGUGUCUCCUCUCCUCCUCACUAGGUGUCUCCUCUCCUCCUCUCUAGGUGUCUCCUCUCCUCCUCACUAGGUGUCUCCUCUCCUCCUCUCCACGUGUCUCCUCUCCUCCUCACUAGGUGUCUCCUCUCCUCCUCACUAGUUGUCUCCUCCUCUCCUCACUAGCUGUCUCCUCUCCUCCUCAAUAGGUGUCUCGUCUCCUCCUCACUAGGUGGCUCCUCUCCUCCUCACUAGGUGUCUC